ACCUCUCAUAGGAAGUGCUGGGACCAUGGGAGAGAGUAAAUAGUCUGGCUCCUGGCCAAAAACUUUUGUGUGGUCUUUCAGGCAGUUACAAAGGUUUGUUUGACAGGUGUCAUGGAAGGGGGCUGGUUUCUCCACAUCACACUUGCUGCACAGCCAAGAUCCUGCAUUCUCUGAAGGGAGUAGCAGUCUUGGACUCAGGACCCCUGGUCAACGACACUCUUAUAUGCAUUAGCUGCAUUCUUAGCCCAGGUGCCUCUGUUUGGAGGCUGCUUUCUCAGGGGCCUAUGGCAGAGGCCUUCCUCAGGCACUUCUGCUAAAGCCUCUUCAUGUGGGGCAGUAGAGCACCUAAAGACACAUUUUCUCCACUCAGUACUCAGGACUUUUCCACUCCUCGCCCUUCGUCCUCCCAUCCUCCUGCCUCUCGGUCCAUGAGAUGUCAAGAGCCUUCUGGUCAGGGCUUCCUCCAUGGUGCAACCGUUCCUGGAUUCCCAUGCCAAUCCAUCUGACCCUUGCUGGAGCCGUUCUGUGGGACAAAAUGGAACAGUGGGGUAGUCUGCACCUUCUCUGCUUCACCCCCUGGUCAUACUAUGCAAGGAAGUGUUUACAGGCUCAACUCUUAGUUUUAUUUUGACUUUUUGUUUUAACCGGUUACUCUGAAAUCUGGCAAUUGAACUCUCUAUCUCAGCUCAGCUCUUGAAAAAGAGGUGCAGCAAGCAGGGUAGUUGAUCAAGCACAAUGUUGUUUUCAAAGACCCCAAAGCCUUAAAAUCUCAUGGGGCACUUCACCAAUAGGGUAUUAGCAGAGCGUGCUAGCAAGUCAGCUGCAAGAAUCAGAGGGUCUCACAAGGCACUUCACCAAUGGGUGUCAGGAAGUGGCAGCAGAGGCCGUGGGGCAUUCUUAGAGGAUGAUAGCAAUUGUUUUUUUUUUCUUUCUUUCUUUUAAGUUUUAUUUAUUUAUUUGAGAAAGAGAACAUGAGUGGGAGGGGUAGAGGGAGAGAGAAUCUCCAGCAGAUUCUGUGCUGAAUGCAGAGCCCAACAUGGGGCUUGAUCUCAAACUCUGAGAUCAUGACCCGAGUCAAAAUGAAGAGUCAGUUGCUCAACCUACUGAGCCAUCCAGACACUCCUCAAAUUGUUUAUAUAAGCUUUUUGGUUCCAAGGUGGACCACUGGUCCUUCUCCUUUGCUCCCAGCACCCUGGCUGAAAUCGUUGGGUGGAUCAAAUUAGAAAUCCAACAGUGAGGGACUAUAAGAAAGCCAGAGAAGCAAUUCCCUCACUACUGUUUCCUGUUCUCUGAUGACAGGACCAGAAGUUGUCAGAGACUCUGUAAACUGAGUUGCAUCCAAUGACUGUUCUUAGAUCUAAGCAGAUCUCUGGUGCCAAUAGACAGCCUGCUCUGUGCAUUGUGUUAUGGAGACUCAUGCUUGUAAUAAAAAAAUUGCAGAGCUCUUUGAGAUUGCUAUGUCCAGUGUGCUCUGAGGAGACCUUAGGAACUUGACUAGUUUGCCUCCAUGAUGAAAGAGGUAAUCUCAUUAAACUUCAUGAAGGACAGUGACUCCUAGUGAUGUGCAUCACUGUACACACCCUCCUCCAGAAUGCCUGACAGUAGCCACUUUGCCUAAGGAGGAAGAAGAAUCUCCAGAGGUCAGAGGGUAGGAUUACCAGAGACCCUCUUCUUCCUCAGCUAGGUACUCUUUGGGCUCUGACAGAUUUGGCAUGAUGAGUCAAUAAAAAACUUGUCUGGAGCAACCUUACAGAAGCUGCGGGGCCCUGUGCCCAGCCUGGUAGUCUUUUGGGCCUGCAGUGAGGGAGUGGGAACAGUGGAUGAUGAGAUGGUUCACCAAAGAUUUUGAGGUUUGUUCAUGCUGCUCCUGCUGGUUAUUGAGCCCAAUUAAGCUUCAGAAUGAGGUUAGGUCCGUUGCUCAGCAACGCAAGCUGGAUCUUUACUGAGAAAUUUCUUGGAACUGAAAAAGUGACGACUGCAAAAAUAACAAAUUUGACUGACCAAAGCAAUGUCAAAAUGGUGAUCAAGAGCCCCCUUGUGGACUUUCUGGGCAAGAGCUUUUUCCAAAUACAGCUCUGGACCCCGUCACCCAGUAACAGGUCUCAAAGGAGGGGAUUGAUGUACUCCCCACUAAGGAACUCUGGGCCCGUACCAGGUCAUGGGGAACUUGAUAGAUGGUCCUACCAGGGUCUGCAUGGUGAUGGCCCUCUGCCUCUCCUGGUGAAUCAGGAGUUGAAUCAAAGAGCCCCAGUGUCAUAGUGUCUUAGCUCAGGGCAGAGUUAUUGGCCUGCUGUUGGGCUUUGGUGGAUACUGGGCACAUGAUCAAUGGCUGUGAAAUAAUCCUAAAACCAGAAAUCCCAGUCAUGUCACGGAUCCAAGCAUAUGUCUCAAAUCACCUGGUGGAGGUGGUUCAAGAGUCUUCUGUACUAAAAUAUAAAUGGUACAUACAGGAAUGAAGAAAACUGAGCCCAAAUGAGGUCUUAUAACUCCAAGAAAAGAUCUUAGGAGUGUCCUUCUGGCUCCCUGGCAUAUUUUCCAAGGAGGUACUGCCUCCACCAGCCCAGUGAGGUCCCAGAUAUAUAGGCUUCCUGGACUACAAACGGGCCUGUUCACUGUCUGCCCCUCCUGGUUAACUACUAACAAGCAGGAAUGGGGUGCAGCUGCCAUCCACAUUGAGAGAGACUUUUCCUACUGAGUGUGGUAAGGGAUGCUUAGUGUAACAGGUGGAGCUUCACACAGGAUGAAUGGCUGGCUGUCCCUGCCACGUCAACAAAGGAGGCUUGCUGUAUUUUUCAUUGACUGACUUAUGUAUUGUGGCUAAUGGCUUAGACAUUUUGGGGGGCCUCUGGCAAGACUCAGAUUGGCGUGUAGAACAAGCCUCCCUGUGGGGACUAGCCACUUGGGUAAAAAUCAAUUCUGCUCCUAAUAAGCUUCUUCUGUUACUCACGUAGAUGCUCACCAAGAAACACUCCUGCACCGACAUAGGGGGACAUUGCAGACGAGCAGACUGCUCGUCAGUCACGCGUCCUUUACCCCAGAGCAAGUGGAUA
rnacentral:lncRNA from 1 species